GACGAACGCUGGCGGCGUGCUUAACACAUGCAAGUCGAACGGAAAGGCCCUGCUUUUGUGGGGUGCUCGAGUGGCGAACGGGUGAGUAACACGUGAGUAACCUGCCCUUGACUUUGGGAUAACUUCAGGAAACUGGGGCUAAUACCGGAUAGGAGCUCCUGCUGCAUGGUGGGGGUUGGAAAGUUUCGGCGGUUGGGGAUGGACUCGCGGCUUAUCAGCUUGUUGGUGGGGUAGUGGCUUACCAAGGCUUUGACGGGUAGCCGGCCUGAGAGGGUGACCGGCCACAUUGGGACUGAGAUACGGCCCAGAUUCCUACGGGAGGCAGCAGUGGGGAAUAUUGCACAAUGGGCGGAAGCCUGAUGCAGCAACGCCGCGUGCGGGAUGACGGCCUUCGGGUUGUAAACCGCUUUCGCCUGUGACGAAGCGUGAGUGACGGUAAUGGGUAAAGAAGCACCGGCUAACUACGU
rnacentral:rRNA from 1 species